GGACAAGAAAGGAAGAAAGUUGUCCCCGCAGCCUAUUUCACCAUUGCCGCCGGAAGCUCGGACCAAAGCCGAGCCUGGCUGUUCGUCCUCUGAGCGAUUGGGGAGAGGACUGCGUCUAACAAAGACUUUAGCGCGGGAUCGACCAUCCGAUGUGAGAUCUCCCUCUCCACUGGUGAAUAUCAUGGACGCCGGUAUUCGCCGUGACCCAAGGCCAGUACCUCGGCGGGACCCGCGCGCUAUCGUCGUCCGGUCGCCUCCACGGCCUUGUCGCUGGAGUCCCGUUGAGAGCCUCUGCUUCACCACUGUGGCUUGGUGUGAAGGAUACCCCUUCGCGGCUGCAGCUUUUCUAAAGAGCCCCUGCCCUUUUGUCAUAUCAACCUGCAGUCCAUAGGAUAUGUAAUAUAAUUACAGACAAGUCCUGUAAACUUAUAAAUAG